GAAUGCUGACAUAAGUAACGAUAAAGCGGGUGAAAAGCCCGCUCGCCGGAAGACCAAGGGUUCCUGUCCAACGUUAAUCGGGGCAGGGUGAGUCGACCCCUAAGGCGAGGCCGAAAGGCGUAGUCGAUGGGAAACGGGUUAAUAUUCCCGUACUUGGUGUUACUGCGAAGGGGGGACGGAGAAGGCUAUGUUGGCCGGGCGACGGUUGUCCCGGUUUAAGCGUGUAGGUGUGUGUUCCAGGUAAAUCCGGUUCACUUUAACACUGAGGCGUGACGACGAGGCACUACGGUGCUGAAGCAACAAAUGCCCUGCUUCCAGGAAAAGCCUCUAAGCAUCAGGUAACAUCAAAUCGUACCCCAAACCGACACAGGUGGUCAGGUAGAGAAUACCAAGGCGCUUGAGAGAACUCGGGUGAAGGAACUAGGCAAAAUGGUGCCGUAACUUCGGGAGAAGGCACGCUGACACGUAGGUGAAGUGAUUUACUCAUGGAGCUGAAGUCAGUCGAAGAUACCAGCUGGCUGCAACUGUUUAUUAAAAACACAGCACUGUGCAAACACGAAAGUGGACGUAUACGGUGUGACGCCUGCCCGGUGCCGGAAGGUUAAUUGAUGGGGUCAGCGCAAGCGAAGCUCCUGAUCGAAGCCCCGGUAAACGGCGGCCGUAACUAUAACGGUCCUAAGGUAGCGAAAUUCCUUGUCGGGUAAGUUCCGACCUGCACGAAUGGCGUAAUGAUGGCCAGGCUGUCUCCACCCGAGACUCAGUGAAAUUGAACUCGCUGUGAAGAUGCAGUGUACCCGCGGCAAGACGGAAAGACCCCGUGAACCUUUACUAUAGCUUGACACUGAACAUUGAGCCUUGAUGUGUAGGAUAGGUGGGAGGCUUUGAAGUGUGGACGCCAGUCUGCAUGGAGCCGACCUUGAAAUACCACCCUUUAAUGUUUGAUGUUCUAACGUGGACCCGUUACCCGGGUUGCGGACAGUGUCUGGUGGGUAGUUUGACUGGGGCGGUCUCCUCCUAAAGAGUAACGGAGGAGCACGAAGGUUGGCUAAUCCUGGUCGGACAUCAGGAGGUUAGUGCAAUGGCAUAAGCCAGCUUGACUGCGAGCGUGACGGCGCGAGCAGGUGCGAAAGCAGGUCAUAGUGAUCCGGUGGUUCUGAAUGGAAGGGCCAUCGCUCAACGGAUAAAAGGUACUCCGGGGAUAACAGGCUGAUACCGCCCAAGAGUUCAUAUCGACGGCGGUGUUUGGCACCUCGAUGUCGGCUCAUCACAUCCUGGGGCUGAAGUAGGUCCCAAGGGUAUGGCUGUUCGCCAUUUAAAGUGGUACGCGAGCUGGGUUUAGAACGUCGUGAGACAGUUCGGUCCCUAUCUGCCGUGGGCGCUGGAGAACUGAGGGGG
rnacentral:rRNA from 1 species